rnacentral:lncRNA from 1 species
ACGAUUAAUUUCGAAUAAUCAUUAAAAAUCAUGUUUAAUUCAUAUAAAACAUUUUUAUAUUCGAGUAAGGGUUAUUCGGUCAAUUGAAGCAUACACAAAAUCUAGAAAUUAUAUCACUUCCAAAAAAAACUCAACCCCUUUCUAGCCCUUCCGAAUAACACGCCUCCAUCACCCCCAUUAAUUUGUCGUCUCAUUCUCUCUCUCUAAUCUCUCAAUUUUGCUUGUGGCUGGUAGAGUGGCGGAGCGUCCAUUUCUCUUAUCGAAUCAUGAAUAUCUGGUAGAGUGGAGCGUCUCCGAUCUUGAUUUAGUAGCCUGCAAUUCGAGGUUGAUCUCGCGAUUCUGUUGUCGGAUCCCCUCUUUUUUCCAUUGCGGUCGAAGGUGAAAAGCGAUUCUGCUGCCGGAUCCCCUCUCUUUUCCAUUGCGGUCAAAGGUGAAGGGCAUUUUCCGUUGCGGUCGAAGGUGAACGGCAAUUCUGCUGCCGGACCCCUUCUCUUUUUUUCUCGUUUCUUUCGGUGCGUCGAGGCACUUUCGCCUCCCUCUCCUGCCACAGGCAAAGUCGCGACCACCGACCCCGCCUCCUUCUCUGUCUUCUGAAAGGAUCUUCACCGCUGUCGCCUCUGAAAAAAAUUCCAGCCCCUGAUGUUCGCACUAUUUUUCCGAUUGGAGAUAGUAGGCAACCGACACCAAGACUUUCGAAUAACUUGUUUUUCUUCAUAUUUUGGUGAAAUAUGCUUCUGAAUCAUCUUCAUAUAUACCACUAUUGAAUGUAUAAUCAUGUUAGUCUUUCUUCACGAGUUUUUUCUCUUUUGCUGAAUUACUUAAAUUUUGGAAUUUUAGGGAUAUGUCUGUAAUCUAAAAUUUAUCUUGAGCUUAAUUACUGGAAAUUUGGGGGAAAUUCAUGUGUUUAGGAAACCUGGAU